rnacentral:rRNA from 1 species
CGGGGGGGGCAAGCGUUGUUCGGAAUUACUGGGCGUAAAGGGCGCGUAGGCGGCUCGCUAAGUCGGGUGUGAAGACUCUGGGCUCAACCCAGAGCCUGCAUUCGAAACUGACGGGCUAGAGUUCUGGAGGGGAAAGCGGAAUUCCUGGUGUAGCAGUGAAAUGCGUAGAUAUCAGGAGGAACACCGGUGGCGAAGGCGGCUUUCUGGACAGAAACUGACGCUGAUGCGCGAAAGCUAGGGGAGCAAACAGGAUUAGAUACCCUGGCAGUCCUAGCCCUAAACGAUGGAUACUUGCUGUGAGGGGGAUUGAAUCCCUUCGUGGCGAAGCUAACGCAUUAAGUAUCCCGCCUGGGGAGUACGGUCGCAAGGCUG